UUAUGCAUGCCUCCCUCUCACUGGUCUGAUUCUGGAAUAGGCAGGACAGGCUAAAUCUUCACUGUACUAAGGUCAUGCGCACGUCCCCAGAUCUGGUACUUUACCUACCUAGGUCUGGUCUUAGAAAUGCUGGUGGGGGCC